CUUCCUGUUUGACGGUUUGAAGCAGAAGUUUAUAUAAAGACCCGCGUGUGUAUUUCUUCUUUCAUUUUCAUUUUCCACUACGGUAAUCGGAUAAUGGCAGCUGAGACGUCGAAAAACUUCGUGCAAAAUUGGUGUAAAUAACCUGGCAAUGGUCAGAUGAUAGGCUGAAAGAUACCUUUCUUGUGCAAUGUGCAUCAUGGUGUUCGAGUUUGGAUGAGGUGUUCCCAGGUUGGAUGAGAUCGACUCAGGAGACACUGAGACAGCUGUGUUGCUUGCUUUUAUCAUACUAUGAUUGUCAAUAAGCAGGAUGUUUAAAUAAGAUGCAGGCAGCUGAUUCUGGGUGUUAUUCUAUUUGAAAUCUAGGUAACAAAGUAAACUUAACCACCUGAAAAUUUUUUUUUUCCCUUUGAUCUAGUUGUACUACAUUAAGUGCUGUGUAACCAUGGUAUGCAAGUGGAGACAGAAAAAUAAAAUUAUUGGAAGAAA